CAAGAAUGCCUUUGACUACUUCUACACUUUCAGAGUAGUUAUAAUAGGCAAGCCUGAUCCCCCAUCGAACCUUGUGAUCAGUCAAAUCACAGAAAACAGCGCCGUCAUAUCGUGGAUUCCCGGGGAGGAUAACGGACACAUUCAAACAUGCACAUUAACCUACAAUAAAUUAAGAGGAGAAUUACAGACCAAUUUCACCACCAGCAAAUCGUCAUUCAUUGUUCGAAAUCUUACCAUGUCCACACGUUAUGAGGUUUCAGUUUAUGCCAGUAAUUUAGAGGGGACUAGUGAGAUCAUCACUGGUAACUUCAGGACAACAGCAGCCCUUGGACGUCAAUCCAACAACA